GGGACUGUGGCUUAGUGGUAGAGUGCUUGCUUAGCAUGCAUGAAGCCCAGGGUUCAAUUCCUCAGUACCA
rnacentral:tRNA from 1 species